ensembl:lncRNA
AUGAUGUUAGUUGUUUGCAGUUUAAGGAUGUUACUAUGUGUACAUCAUGCACUAGCACUCUCAUUAAAGUUACUUUUUUUUUUUUUUUUUUUUUUUUUUUUUUUUUUUUUUUUUUUUUUUUUUUUUUUUUUUUUUUUUUUUUUUUUUUUUUUUUUUUUUUUUUUUUUUUUUUUUUUUUUUUUUUUUUUUUUUUUUUUUUUUUUUUUUUUUUUUUUUUUUUUUUUGCUAAGUUCGGUAUCGAUAUGGUGCUCCUGGGGGAGCUCGGGACCACCAGGUCGUCUAAGGAGGGGUGAACCGGCCCAGGUCGGAGACGGAGCAGGUCAAAGCCCCCGUGCCGAUCAGGUGUCCGCGCUAAGUUCGGUAUCGAUAUGGUGCUCCUGGGGGAGCUCGGGACCACCAGGUCGUCUAAGGAGGGGUGAACCGGCCCAGGUCGGAGACGGAGCAGGUCAAAGCCCCCGUGCCGAUCAGUAGUGGGGUCGCGCCUGUGAAUAGACACUGCAGUGUCUAUUCACAGGCGCGACCCCACUACUGAUCGGCACGGGGGCUUUGACCUGCUCCGUCUCCGACCUGGGCCGGUUCACCCCUCCUUAGACGACCUGGUGGUCCCGAGCUCCCCCAGGAGCACCAUAUCGAUACCGAACUUAGCGCGGACACCCGAUCGACAUAGUCCACUGCAGCCCAGAACCCCUGAACUCAUGCGAUCCGCCAGCCUCAGCCUCCCAGCAGCUUGGAUUACAGGCGCGCGCCACUGCACCCGGCGAGAGCUGCGAGCAUCAGCGCUGCUACUCAAUCUAGUGCUCACUGACCUCUAGUGCAGCACAGCACAACACUAGACUGAUUAGCCGUGGAGCAGAGUGACCUUCAUGGUGUUUAAACAUCUCCAAACAAAUCAGCAAAGAUCUAGUUUUUCACUUUUUAAUUUAAAACAUUCAAUAGCUAGCCUAUUUUCCUUUACUUUAACACAUCUGACUAUCAUUUAAUUAAUCUCAAUUGUUAAUACAUGAAUAAUUUGUGAUAACUUUAGAUUUUUAGCUGGUUUAAUACCUGUUUUAUCAUAUGUAUGUAUAUUUAUCAUAUGUACACACAUUAAGCUCAUUAAUUUUAUUAUGGAAAACUUUGCUGUUUAUAUUCCUAGAAGAAAUAAAAGCUGUGACUGGAACACGUUCUGGUGAUACAACAACAGGAAAUUAUUAAGCAGCGGUGACAGAAAACUCUCUUUCAACUGGAAGCUCCAGAACUGGGCUGUGAAACCCACUACAGGGGGCCGCAGCAAACAUCCAAGAGGGCUGCAGGAUGAUUUAAAAUUAUUCAAAUGAGUAUACUAUUAUUAACAAUGAACACAAUUAACACUAAUAAAUUAAAUUAACGUAAUUAAAAUGCUUUUUUUUAUGAUUAUUAUUAUUAUUUGCCCACAACAUUUGUUUCUUUUUAUUAAAAAAAAAAAAGAAAAAGAAAAGAAAAAAAAAACAUUUUUGUCCUAAUUAUAGCAGAAAUACUGGAGAAAAUAUAUGGGGAAACCUUUGAAAAUUGUUGUGGACAAUCAAGUCAAAACGAUUGAGAAUUACUGAAAAUAGGAACCAGACUGAUCGUGAUAAGAACCACUGAGGCAGCCUUAAAUAGGAACUUUGUAGAAAUAUGUUAGUCAGCAUGAAAUCAAAAUUGACCCUAUUUAUUUUCUUAAUGCAUGUUACUGAGUUUUAUUGUGAAUAUGUAUUUAUUAUAAUUAUUAUUAUUUGGAUUUUGACAUCUUUAAUCAAAACUUUGUUCUUCCUGUGUUAUGCUCACUUUUCUCUGCUGUCAUGUGAGGCAGUGCUGCAGUCAAG